rnacentral:rRNA from 1 species
UACGAAGGGGGCUAGCGUUGUUCGGAUUUACUGGGCGUAAAGCGCACGUAGGCGGAUCGUUAAGUCAGGGGUGAAAUCCUGGGGCUCAACCUCAGAACUGCCUUUGAUACUGGCGAUCUCGAGUCCGGAAGAGGUGAGUGGAACUCCUAAUGUAGAGGUGGAAUUCGUAGAUAUUAGGAAGAACACCAGUGGCGAAGGCGGCUCACUGGUCCGGUACUGACGCUGAGGUGCGAAAGCGUGGGGAGCAAACGGG